CAGUCGCCACGGUAAUACGUAGGGUGCAAGCGUUAUCCGGAAUUAUUGGGCGUAAAGAGCUCGUAGGCGGUUUGUCGCGUCUGUUGUGAAAGCCCCGGGCUCAACCUGGGAAUGGCAAUGGAUACUGGCGAGCUAGAGUGUGUCAGAGGAUGGUGGAAUUCCCGGUGUAGCGGUGAAAUGCGUAGAGAUCGGGAGGAACACCGAUGGCGAAGGCAGCCCCCUGGGCCAAUACUGACGCUCAUGCACGAAAGCGUGGGGAGCAAACAGGAUUAGAUACCCCUGUAGUCCCUGUCUCUUAUAC
rnacentral:rRNA from 1 species